rnacentral:rRNA from 1 species
AGCGAACGCUGGCGGCGUGCUUAACACAUGCAAGUCGAACGUGAAAGGGAGCAAUCCUGAGUAAAGUGGCGUACGGGUGAGUAACACGUAGGUAAUCUACCUUAAAGCCUGGAAUAACCUGCCGAAAGGCGGGCUAAUACUGGAUAGAGCGACGGACAACGUAGAGUUGUCUUCGGGAAAGGGAGCUCGCAAGAGCCCUCACUUUAAGAUGAGCCUGCGUCCCAUUAGCUAGUUGGUAGGGUAAUGGCCU